GCACAAGCGGUGGAUGAUGUGGAUUAAUUCGAUGCAACGCGAAAACCUUACCUACCCUUGACAUGUCCGGAAUCCCGAAGAGAUUUGGGAGUGCUCGCAAGAGAACCGGAACACAGGUGCUGCAUGGCUGUCGUCAGCUCGUGUCGUGAGAUGUUGGGUUAAGUCCCGCAACGAGCGCAACCCUUGCCAUUAGUUGCUACGAAAGGGCACUCUAAUGGGACUGCCGGUGACAAACCGGAGGAAGGUGGGGAUGACGUCAAGUCCUCAUGGCCCUUAUAGGUGGGGCUACACACGUCAUACAAUGGCCGGUACAGAGGGUAGCCAACCCGCGAGGGGGAGCCAAUCCCACAAAGCCGGUCGUAGUCCGGAUCGCAGUCUGCAACUCGACUGCGUGAAGUCGGAAUCGCUAGUAAUCGCGGAUCAGCAUGUCGCGGUGAAUACGUUCCCGGGUCUU
rnacentral:rRNA from 1 species